rnacentral:rRNA from 1 species
GCGCAUGCAGGCGGCCUGUUAAGUCAGAUGUGAAAGCCCGGGGCUUAACCUCGGAAUUGCAUUUGAAACUGGCAGGCUAGAGUCUUGUAGAGGGGGGUAGGAAUUUCAGGUGUAGCGGUGAAAUGCGUAGAGAUCUGAAGGAAUACCAGUGGCGAAGGCGGCCCCCUGGACAAAGACUGACGCUCAGAUGCGAAAGCGUGGGGAGCAAACAGGAUUAGAUACCCUGGUAG